UACGGAGGGUGCAAGCGUUAUUCGGAUUUACUGGGCGUAAAGCGCGCGCAGGCGGUAUUGUAAGUCGGAUGUGAAAGCCCUGGGCUUAACCCAGGAAGUGCAUUCGAUACUGCAUUACUUGAGUAUGGGAGAGGGAAGUGGAAUUCCUGGUGUAGAGGUGAAAUUCGUAGAUAUCAGGAGGAACAUCGGUGGCGAAGGCGGCUUCCUGGACCAAUACUGACGCUGAGGCGCGAAGGCGUGGGGAGCAAACAGG
rnacentral:rRNA from 1 species